rnacentral:lncRNA from 1 species
UGAACCAAAGUCAUCCCCAAAGUCUCUUCUUCUUCCCCUUUAGUGGGACUCCGUCCCCUAAAGGGGAAGAAGUGCUCGUCCCCUUUAGUUCCCCUUAAGGGGAUGAACCGAAGGGGUUCCCCUAAAGGGGAAGAACACACCCCAAAGUCUCUUCUUCUUCCCCUUUAGGGGACUCCGUCUUCUUUAGGGGAAGAAGAAGAAGAACACACCCCCCCCUUCUUCCCCGUUAGUGUUCUUCCCCAAAGGGGAACCCCUUCGUCUCCCCUUCGGGGAGACGAAGAAGAUACUUUGGGGAAGACUUUGGUUCCCCUUUAGGGGAUGAAGAAGAAGAAGAGCACUAAAGUUCAUCCCCGAAGGGGGACAUCCCCUAAAGUUCCCCUUUAGGGGAAGAACUAAAGGGGAACUUUANUUCAUCGUCAUCCCCUAAAGGGGAACUAAAGGGUUGUCUUCUUUAGGGUUGUCUUCUUUAGGGUUGUCUUCUUUAGGGUUGUCUUCUUUAGUUCCCCUUUAGGGGAUGAACCAAAGUCUUCCCCUAAAGGGGAACUUUAGUUCAUCCCCUUCGUUUUCUUCCCCAAAGGGGAACCAAAGUCUCCGUCCCCUUUAGGGGAAGAAGGGGGAACACCCCUUUAGUUCCCCUAAAGAAGAUGAACUAAAGUUCCCCUUUAGGGGAAGAAGAAGAACACUAAAGGGGAUGUGUUCCCCUUCGGUUCCCCUUUAGGGGAUGUUCCCCUUCGGGGAUGAACUAAAGGGGAUGGAAGGGACAAGGGCCCUCAUUUAUGUUUGUUGUCUUCCCCGAAGGGGAACCCCUUCGUCUCCCCGAAGGGGAACACCCCUUCGGGGAUGACAACGAUAGUAGUUUAUCUAGUAGCGUAAACCUUUGCAGCAUUCCACAAGUACUGUGAUUAAGUCACAAGAAACAAGAACUACCCUCGUCUAAGUAACGUAUGUACUAGUAAUAUUUUAUUAUGAUUAGAAUUUAAUAUAUAGAUAUUAUUUUUAAUAUAACAUAUUUUUAUAAAAAGUAAAAGUGCUGUAGUACUUGUCGUUUUAUAACGAUUUGUUUUAUUUAUUGAGUAGGUUUAGGCUUUAUUUUAUAAGUAGGGCUUUGUCCCCCAAUUAACUACGAUAAACUACAAGGCUUUGCCUUUGUAACUAGUUUUUAGCAGGCCGAAAAGGCUUAUAAAAAUUAGUAGCGAUUUACCGUAGGCGAAUCUAGCUACGGGCGAAGCCCGAGGUUUAUACUCCGG